rnacentral:tRNA from 1 species
GCCCUCGUAGCUCAGGGGAUAGAGCACCGGCCUCCGGAGUCGGGUGCGAAGGUUCGAAUCCUUCCGAGGGCGCCA